GGCCCGUGAGGCAGCCGGAACCUCUGCCCUCUCAGCAGGUUCUCUGCCUGCCGUAAACGACCAAAAGCAAAGCAGCCGCUGGAGCCUGCUGCGAUGGGAAGGCUUAGUCCUGUGAGCAGUGUGGAGAUGAGAAGGCAGAAGUGGGGGGGUGGGCAGCUCCACUUUGACCUGUUUAUGUCUCUUUCUCAGGGAAUAUUAAGCAGAACCCCAACACACAGAGCCUCUCAAAGACAGGGACUGAGCUGAAGAUCAUCAACGACUUCCUCUUUCAGAGCCAGGUGGACAACAUCAACCUGUUCAAGGUAGAGCUGUUGCCUUUCAAUCUGGGCCCAUCAUGUGUCCUUCUUGGCGCCAGCUAUGGGCG
rnacentral:lncRNA from 1 species